rnacentral:lncRNA from 1 species
GAGACCUAUUACGAUUAUAGAUUUUUUGUAGGCUUUGUGGAUCGUGAGGACUAGCGUUGCUAUUCCGAUUCAGAGUUAAGAAUAAACGACAAGCAUUGCCUAAUCAGGUGAGCUUAUUUUACAAAUGUAUGAUUUAGCUAUUGAGCUUAAAUAUUUCAAUGAAAUACAAACUGUUUAUCCGAUAAAAUAUUUUUGUGCACUCUGCUCUGUUUAAGGUUCGCAUAAGUUAAUCGAUCGAGGUUCUCUCUUGACCUAACACGUUAUUUGAGAAUUGUGUACACCUAUUAGCUAACUCAGUGGGUUGAUAUCCAUUCGGGCACUAAUCAUGUAUGAAGCGUUACAAGGGUGCUCGACGGGAUGUGUUCCGGAGCAUUAGGUCCCAAAUGGGAACUUGGCUGAGUUACGGCCUCAGUUCAAGUGAGUAGGAGUAAUGGAUCCGUCGGUGGCUAAAAGGUCCGGGAUCACAACGAGUAACGAAAAGGGAGUGUGACAAUUGCGCGCAAAUAUAUAAAAUGUUUUAACAUGCUUAGAAGUUAUUUCACUUUAAAACUUUCUAAGUCAUAUCAAGUAUAAUUGGAUAAACUGCUCUUAUGAAUUAUGAAAUGUUUUAAAAGUUGCAGCCCACUAAGUACAUUAGUACUUAGCCUAAAAAUACUUUCAAAUAUUUUUCAGGUUGAUUGGUCGGUGCUGACAAGGCAGAGCUGAGGCUGGGGUUCAACUCCGUAUUUUGUCUUCCGCUGUUGCACUAGCUCUUAUUGUCUUUUGUCUCUCUAACUUAAGACUUUUAUGUUAAAUUCUGAAUUAUGUUUCUUAUCGAGCUUAGACUCUCAACUUCUAGC